UACGUAGGUGGCAAGCGUUUAUCCGGAAUUAUUGGGCGUAAAGCGCGCGCAGGCGGUUUCUUAAGUCUGAUGUGAAAGCCCACGGGCUCAACCGUGGAGGGUCAUUGGAAACUGGGGAACUUGAGUGCAGAAGAGAAAAGCGGAAUUCCACGUGUAGCGGUGAAAUGCGUAGAGGAUGUGGAGGAACACCAGUGGCGAAGGCGGCGUACCUGGCCCAGCAUUGACGCUGAGACCCGAAAGCGUGGG
rnacentral:rRNA from 1 species